GUGCCCGUAGCGCAGCUUGGAUAGCGCGUCGGUUUCCUAAACCGUAGGUCGCAGGUUCAAAUCCUGCCGGGCACG
rnacentral:tRNA from 1 species